AAAACGUGACGCUUUUGUAAGCUUGUUUUGUGUGUGUAUAUAUAUAUAUAUAUAUAUUUGGAGGAAACUGAAUUCUAUUUGUUGCUUCAGUAAGUUUUGAUGUUUUUUCCUCUCUCUUGUAAAUGUAUUUUUAAUGUACUUCGAACUUACGUGAAAAUUUGAUUUGAAAGGUUGUGAUGUACUAAGGUUAUUGGGAGAAAGGCAGGGUAUUAACAAUAUUAAUGCUCCGAAAGUGCAAGUUGCUAGAAUCAUGUAGUACAUGAGAGGUAGUUGUUGAAGGUUGAUGGUCUUCAAAUGACCAAAAAGUUCUUGUUCGUCAUGUUUUCUUUGGUACAAGUAGUAAGACUUGAGGUAGACUUGCCAAUAAAACAUGAUACAAUUUUAUGGGAGGCCAAACCCAGAAAUGACAUAUAUUGAGGAUGCCAUCGGCAAUACAGUUCCAUGACCUCAUGACAAAGUUUAAUUAGUUGAUGAAGGACUAUCAAAUGCAUGCAAUGUUUUGACCACAAAUACAAAUAUGUUAGAAUUAUUUGGAAUUUUGAUAUCAACAUAUUUUUGUAAUUUAUAAAGUUUACGUUUUGUUUCAUCUCCAAG